GGCUGACUACUCUCUGGUAGUGCAGUCAUUUUUGCUGAGAGCAGGAAAAGACAUUUGGGAAAAUUGGAUGAAGAAACAGGUGAGCAACUGAUGGAUGGAGAGUCAGCCACCGAUGGACGGAGAGUCAGCCACCGAUGGACAGAGAGUCAGCCACCGAUGGACGGAGAGUCAGUCACCGAUGGACGGAGAGUCAGCCACCGAUGGACGGAGAGUCAGCCACCGAUGGAUGGAGAGUCAGCCACCGAUGGAUGGAGAGUCAGCCACCGAUGGAUGGAGAGUCAGCCAUCGAUAGAUGGAGAGUCAGCCACCGAGACCACCAGCCACGCUGCAUCUAGUUUCUGAUUCACACUUUGCUUCAUGCUGCUAGAGUUGGGGGUAAGCUGUCACAUCUAAAUAUAUGACCAGUACAGUGAUCAUUGUAUUUAAGCAAUUAAUAAAAUUUGUUAAUGUUAAAUCUAAAGAAUUGAAUCUACAAA